rnacentral:rRNA from 1 species
UACGGAGGGUGCAAGCGUUAUCCGGAUUCACUGGGUUUAAAGGGUGCGUAGGUGGGUUGGUAAGUCAGUGGUGAAAUCUCCGAGCUUAACUUGGAAACUGCCAUUGAUACUAUCAAUCUUGAAUACUGUGGAGGUCAGCGGAAUAUGUCAUGUAGCGGUGAAAUGCUUAGAUAUGACAUAGAACACCAAUUGCGACGGCAGCUGGCUACACAAAUAUUGACACUGAGGCACGAAAGCGUGGGGAUCAAACAGG